UUGGAGGGCAAGUCUGGUGCCAGCAGCCGCGGUAAUUCCAGCUCCAAUAGCGUAUAUUAAGGUUGUUGCAGUUAAAAAGCUCGUAGUUGAAUUUCGGGAUUCAUCCGUUGGUCGGGCCUCACGGUCCGUACUGGUGUGAUGGGUUCCUACCUUCUGAAUAACCGGCAUGCCAUUAAUUUGGUGCGCCGGGGAAGCAGAACUAUUACCUUGAAAAAAUUAGAGUGCUUAAAGCAGGCAAGUGCCUGAAUAGGUUAGCAUGGAAUAAUAAAAUAGGACGGCAUGGUUCUAUUUUGUUGGUUUCUAGGAUCACCGUAAUGAUUAAUAGGGAUAGUUGGGGGCAUUAGUAUUCAAUUGUCAGAGGUGAAAUUCUUGGAUUUAUUGAAGACUAACUUCUGCGAAAGCAUUUGCCAAGGAUGUUUUCAUUAAUCAAGAACGAAAGUUAGGGGAUCGAAGACGAUCAGAUACCGUCGUAGUCUUAACCAUAAACUAUGCCGACUAGGGAUCGGACGAUGUUAAUUUUUUAAUGACUCGUUCGGCGCCUUACGGGAAAC
rnacentral:rRNA from 1 species